AUUGGUGGUUCAGCGGUAGAGUGCUCGGUUGCUGCGCGGGCGACUCGGGUUCUAUUCCCGACCAAU
rnacentral:tRNA from 1 species